AGUGAACGCUGGCGGUAGGCCUAACACAUGCAAGUCGAACGGCAGCACAGUAAGAGCUUGCUCUUACGGGUGGCGAGUGGCGGACGGGUGAGGAAUACAUCGGAAUCUACUUUUUCGUGGGGGAUAACGUAGGGAAACUUACGCUAAUACCGCAUACGACCUACGGGUGAAAGCAGGGGAUCUUCGGACCUUGCGCGAUUGAAUGGGCCGAUGUCGGAUUAGCUAGUUGGCGGGGUAAAGGCCCACCAAGGCGACGAUCCGUAGCUGGUCUGAGAGGAUGAUCAGCCACAAUGGAACUGAGACACGGUCCAGACUCCUAAGGGAGGCAGCAGUGGGGAAUAUUGGACAAUGGGCGCAAGCCUGAUCCAGCCAUACCGCGUGGGUGAAGAAGGCCUUCGGGUUGUAAAGCCCUUUUGGUGGGAAAGAAAAGCAGCAGGUUAAUACCCCGCUGUUCUGACGGUACCCAAAGAAUAAGCACCGGCUAACUUCGUG
rnacentral:rRNA from 1 species